AUGCUUGCUUCGGCAGCACAUAUACUAAAACUGGAACAAUACAGAGAUUAGCAUGGCCCCUGUGCAAGGAUGACACACAAAUUCGUGAAGCAAUCCAUAUUAAA